rnacentral:rRNA from 1 species
ACGUAGGGGGCAAGCGUUAUCCGGAAUUAUUGGGCGUAAAGAGUGCGUAGGUGGUUUUUUAAGCGUGAGGUGAAAGGCAAUAGCUUAACUAUUGUAAGCCUUGCGAACUGGAAGACUUGAGUGCAGGAGAGGAAAGUGGAAUUCCUAGUGUAGCGGGGGAAUGGCUUGAAAUUAGGAGGGACACCAGUGGCGAAGGCGACUUUCUGGACUUUAACCGACACUGGGGCACGAAAACGUUGGGAGCAAACAG